CCUACGGGAGGCAGCAGUGGGGAAUAUUGCACAAUGGGCGAAAGCCUGAUGCAGCAACGCCGCGUGAGGGACGACGGCCUUCGGGUUGUAAACCUCUUUUAGCAGGGAAGAAGCGAAAGUGACGGUACCUGCAGAAAAAGCACCGGCUAACUACGUGCCAGCAGCCGCGGUAAUACGUAGGGUGCAAGCGUUGUCCGGAAUUAUUGGGCGUAAAGAGCUCGUAGGCGGUUUGUCGCGUCUGCUGUGAAAAUCCGAGGCUCAACCUCGGACCUGCAGUGGGUACGGGCAAACUAGAGUGCGGUAGGGGAGAUUGGAAUUCCUGGUGUAGCGGUGGAAUGCGCAGAUAUCAGGAGGAACACCAAUGGCGAAGGCAGAUCUCUGGGCCGUAACUGACGCUGAGGAGCGAAAGCGUGGGGAGCGAACAGGAUUAGAUACCCUGGUAGUCCACGCCGUAAACGGUGGGAACUAGAUGUGGGGUCCGUUCCACGGAUUCCGUGUCGCAGCUAACGCAUUAAGUUCCCCGCCUGGGGAGUACGGCCGCAAGGCUAAAACUCAAAGGAAUUGACGG
rnacentral:rRNA from 1 species